UACAGAGGGGGCAAGCGUUGUUCGGAAUUACUGGGCGUAAAGGGCGCGUAGGCGGCCCGCUAAGUCGAACGUGAAAUCCCCGAGCUCAACUCGGGAACUGCGUCCGAUACUGGCGGGCUUGAAUCCGGGAGAGGGAUGCGGAAUUCCAGGUGUGAGCGGUGAAAUGCGUAGAUAUCUGGAGGAACACCGGUGGCGAAGGCGGCAUCCUGGACCGGCAUUGACGCUGAGGCGCGAAAGCUAGGGGAGCAACGGG
rnacentral:rRNA from 1 species